rnacentral:rRNA from 1 species
AUGCUAAUGUGGGCACGUAGAUGGUGCCUGUUGCGAACCAGCCGCAUGCAUAGCCGUAGAUCCAGCCUCAAGCCAACCAGAGCUGGUCAACAAUCUGGUCCAGCAAGUCCCGCCCACGGCCGCAGCCAGAGCUGGCCCUGGGUCUCAGGCCUUGUAGGCGUCAACUUUCUUCUUGGAGCUGUCAACAUCAUGCUUACAGUUCUCGUCCUCAUGGUCGUGGUUGCGUCCGCAUGUGCCAGGGAUCUAUGUGUUAGUGUACUACUAUGUAAUGAAGUAAUUAAGGGUGGCUCCCUCUACCGCUAA